rnacentral:rRNA from 1 species
AUUGAACGCUGGCGGCAUGCCUUACACAUGCAAGUCGAACGGCAGCACGGGAGCAAUCCUGGUGGCGAGUGGCGAACGGGUGAGUAAUACAUCGGAACGUGCCCAGUAGUGGGGGAUAACCCGGCGAAAGCCGGACUAAUACCGCAUACGACCUACGGGUGAAAGUGGGGGAUCGCAAGACCUCGCGCUAUCGGAGCGGCCGAUGUCAGAUUAGCUAGUUGGUGGGGUAAAGGCCUACCAAGGCGACGAUCUGUAGCUGGUCUGAGAGGACGACCAGCCACACUGGGACUGAGACACGGCCCAGACUCCUACGGGAGGCAGCAGUGGGGAAUUUUGGACAAUGGGCGCAAGCCUGAUCCAGCCAUGCCGCGUGCGGGAAGAAGGCCUUCGGGUUGUAAACCGCUUUUGUCAGGGAAGAAACGCUCCGGGCUAAUACCACGGAGUAAUGACGGUACCUGAAGAAUAAGCACCGGCUAACUACGUG